rnacentral:lncRNA from 1 species
GUUUGCUUUCAAGGGGUUGUUGAGAUCCCUUUUGGAUUCUUUGUUGGAGAUUAGGGUGGGAAAUAAGCAGGACUGCUGAGGAGUCUCGGCUGUCACUUUGGAAUAUGAAAACAGUCUGGCUUCAAGUAAACCCAGUUUGAGAUUCACGCUCCCUCCUCCCUGCGCUCCUCAGCCGUCUCCCAUAAUCACUGGUCCUGGAUGGGAAUUUGUGGGAGCUGGUUGGGCCCAAACUGCGAUUUCUCAUCCAAUGCAAUGGAAAAGCCAAAAUGAGAAGAGUAAAGUUUAAAUCAGACAAAUUGCACAAAGGUCCACGAAAAGCCACAAGGAGACCACGUGCCUUUCCGAAGGCCCUCAAGGACCUGCCAGACCCUGAAGCCGGACAAAGGCCCCCCCAAACCACAUCAGAAGAACCUUCUCCCUGGAAAAGAUCAGCUGGCUCUUCCCAAGCAUGGCUCUGAACUUGCAGACAUAAAGCACCUUGAAAUAGUCCCUGCUGAAGGCACUUCCCACUCGGGUCACCAUGACAGAGACAGCAGAGAGCAAGGUGGUGAAGAAACUACAGCAAAUGGAAAAAUCUGAGGAUAAUACCUUAUUAGCAGCACAGAUGUGGUGGAUUCUGUUGAGGGAAGCGAGCUUCCUUGGAAUACUGGAGGGAGAAGAUGAAGGAUUAACAAACAUAUCGGUUCCCCAAGGAAAUCUCAUAAAGAAGCAUCAGCAAAUGUCAAGAAUUUGGCUUUGGGUUCAUGGACAAGGCCCAGGACCAAUACUUUUUUGUUUUUUUCAAACUGCUGGGGCCAAUGACUUAUUGAAGCCUAGCAAUUUAACUGAAUUAGUAAUGACGGCACAUCACCUGGUGACAAUCAAAAGGCUGGAAAUAACUUCUGUAUUGUGA